CAUCACGCACAUUAUCUCCUUAUUGUGCCAAGCCUGUACUUGGCUUCAUCAUUAAGUGAGAAAAAGAAUAAGAUCAGUCUAAGUACAUCAUCAAAAAAAUUUUAAAUUUUCACUAUGAAAUAUAUUUCUAAGAACUCAUUUAGAUGCUUAUACAGAUCUUCAUUGGUGUUCCCAUAGAAAGAUGGGAGCAACUGAAUGGUGGUCAACUUAAUCUCAUAAUAGCUUGCAGGA
rnacentral:lncRNA from 1 species